UACGUAGGGUGCAAGCGUUGUCCGGAAUUAUUGGGCGUAAAGAGCUCGUAGGCGGCUUGUCACGUCUGCUGUGAAAACUCGGGGCUCAACCCCGAGCCUGCAGUGGAUACGGGCUAGCUAGAGUGCGGUAGGGGAGACUGGAAUUCCUGGUGUAGCGGUGAACGCGCAGAUAUCAGGAGGAACACCGUGGCGAAGGCGGGUCUCUGGACCGAUACUGACGCGAGGAGCGAAAGCGUGGGGGAGCGAACAGG
rnacentral:rRNA from 1 species